rnacentral:rRNA from 1 species
AAAACAUUUCUUUUAGAAUUUUUAAAAGUAAACCCUGCUCAGUGAACUUUUAACAGCCGCAGAUCAACUGUGCUAAGGUAGCAUAAUAACUUGCCUUUUAAUUGAAGGCUAGAAUGAAUGGGAUUACAAUAAAUUACCUAUCUCUUUUCUUCAUAUUGAAAUUAAAUUAAUAGUAAAAAUUCUAUUAUAAAUAAAAAGGACGACAAGACCCUAUCAAACUUCACUAUAGUUAAACUGGGGCGGUAAAAAAAAAAUUCUUUUUUAAAAUUAUCUAAUUACUUAAUAAACAAGUUACUGUAGGGAUAACAGCAUAAUUUUUUUUUAGAGAUCUUAUCAAAAAAAAAGAUUGUGACCUCGAUGUUGAAUUAAAUUUCCUAAUUCACGAAACCAUGAAUAUAGUAAGUCUGUUCGACUUUUAAAAAUUUACAUGAUCU